rnacentral:rRNA from 1 species
UACGUAGGUGGCAAGCGUUGUCCGGAAUUAUUGGGCGUAAAGCGCGCGCAGGCGGUCUCUUAAGUCUGAUGUGAAAGCCCACGGCUCAACCGGGGAGGGUCAUUGGAAACUGGGGGACUGGAGUACUGGAGAGGAGAGUGGAAUUCCAUGUGUAGCGGUGAAAUGCGUAGAUAUAUGGAGGAACACCAGGGGCGAAGGCGGCCCUCUGGUCCAGUACUGACACUCAAGUGCGAAAGCGUGGGGAGCAAACAGG